CUUCCUAUUUCUUCUUCAUUCUUCUUCUUCAUUCUUAUUCUCCUUUCUUCUUCUUCUUCUUCUUCUGCGAGUUUUAGAGAAUCAAAUGGAAGCUCUCUGAUCGACAGUGGGUGGAGAAGAUCAUGUAGUAGUCGGUGGUGAUGGUGAUGGUGUCUGCUGUUGAAUCAGAUUCAAAGGAGUAAGUGAUUAUGCGGUAGUUGAUUGAGCACGGGAAGAAGAUGAUAGCUUUGUUUCUGUAAAUCGGAGUUAGGGUUUGUGUGAAUUUGAUGAUGAUAUAGUGUUGCUGAAGAAUAAAUAACCAAAGGGUUGUUGUUGUAUCAAGGUUCUGAAGUCGUGUUGAUGAUGAAUCGAAAAAGUUAGAAUUAGGGUUUCUCAGGACAACCUCAGAGAAGAAUUAAGAGUUCGAUUUGGUGAUGAUUAAGAUGAAUUAAAGGAUGAGUGUUAAAGAACAUGAUGUGAAGAAGGUUGUUAUAGCUUUAAUUUGGGGAUUUGGUUACAGAGAAGAUCGAUUAAGAGAAUUGCAGAAUUAGGAUUCUGUUCAAGGGUUUCCGAGAGUUAAAGAUGAUGAUGAGGGUUGGUGGGUUGUUGGUGAUCCGAGUUAAGUGAAGAAGGAAUUGAAUGCAAUUUCCAGAGUAACACAUAUUUGAGGUAAUUGUUCUGAUGUCAUUGUUUGUAUAAUUUUGUAUUGAACUGAGGUUGAUGUGGUUAUGUAUUUGGAAUUGAAUUGGUGGUGUUGAUGUAUGAAUUGUAGUUAGAAAGUUAAACCUGAAACUGAUAAUGAGGCAGUGAAGGGAUAGAGAUGGUGAAUAUGAAGCUGAGUAAUGGAUAGUGGUAUUGAACUAAGAUGAGUUGAAGUAGAUUAUUGUUUAGCUGCAGUUGUGAGAAAUGGAAUUGUAGGUUAUGAGAUUUGGGUUCUGUGUAUGCUAACCGAACAAUUUUAGAAUGGAUGAGUGGUUGUAAGUAUUAUAAAUGAUCAGUGUUAUCUGAAUUGAAGCUUAGACACAUGAGUUAGGAGGUUUAUGAACUGUAUAUGUGCAAGUAAGAAUAAAAUAGAGAUGGUGAUGAAACUGGAAUUGAAUCAGCUCAGGUUAUAUGGGUUGUGUAGUUGAGUUUUACUCAGCUGGCUUUGGUGAUGCUAAGGCAAAGGUUGUGGUAAUGCUUGUGUAAUUGUGUUGAAUUACAGGGAGAAGCUGAAGUAAGUGGUGUUUCUGAACUGUGAAGGUUGUUGGGUUGCAAGUGACAGACUAGUGGUAGAUAGAGAUGGAGAUAAUGUUUGUUUGUAUUGAAGAUGAUUGUAUCUGAGUAGUGCUAAGAAGAAUUGGGUUUAUGUUUGAUGUAACUGCUACAGGUGAAGGUUGAGUUGUUUUGGAUGUUAGUUUUGGUAAGUGAAUUACAAGGGAAAUGAACUGUUAGUACUGGUAAGCUCAGGUGCAGGGGUUGCUGGAACUGUAACUGUGGUUAGUGGAUGUUAUGAUCUCAACUGAAGUGCAGAUGGAGUCUUAAGGUUAUGGUGUAGUUGAAAUGGAAAUGAUGAGGAAGCUGAGGUUACGUUUAGUCUGGAUAGACAAAAUAGUUGCUAAUGAAGUUAAUUUUAAAUUGAGAUCUGAAGUGACAGACCUGAAGCUAUAGUUGUAACUUAAUUAUAUCUAGAAUUGCAGAGAAUUAGUAUUUAGGGAAUCUGGUGGUGAUUGAGUUUAGUGGAAUGUGUUGCUAAAAGCUACAAUUGCAGUUAGUCUAUAUUAACAACGAUCGAUUCAAAGGAUGAACCAGUGGAUUGUGGAUCCGAGGUAGGCGUGGCUUGUCAUCAAAAGAGAGUCAGAUCAGAGUUGCGCAGCGAAAGCUUCAAGGGGUUGAAUCUGUUUGUUAAAUUACUUCUGCUAUGUUUAUUAUAUUGUAUAUUCUAUUUGUAAACCAAAUGACUAUUGUAUAUGUAUCAUUUGAGAGAAGUUCUUGUAUAUAUAUUUCUGAGCGGGGCUAGUUUUGGGUUAAGUUUUG